rnacentral:misc_RNA from 1 species
AUCCCUCAAAUCCCAAUGUUUUGUAAAAUUCAUUGCUUGGAUUUGGUUGUGGGCCUUUGCUGCUUAACCGUAGCUGGCCUCAAAGAGAUUAGCUGGACUAUCCGACUCUUGGUAGUUUCCACUUGAUGUGAUAAAUUUGCAUCGGUGGGUCAAUGACUGCUUAAGGAACGAGAAGUCUGCUUCGAACCCGGCGAGAAGUUCUACUUCGACCCAUUCUUUACAU